rnacentral:lncRNA from 10 species
AAUAAAUACAUAAAAAUAAAUACGGGUUUCUGUCACCUCGCUUCAGAAUCAGACAGCUAGAGGUGGGGCCCUGGAAUUGGUGUUGUUAAUGCAUUCUCCAGGAAUUUCUCCUGCAUAGGGAAGUUGGAAACCACUGGCUUCCUUCUCAAUUGACUGUGAUUGCGUAAUUUUACCUGUCGUACACCUUUCAGAAGGCAGAGGCUUUGGUUCACCCCUCUACCUCCAGGGCCUAAAACAGUGCCUGGAGGAACUCAAUUAAACAUUUGUUGAGUGAAUACGUGAAUUACAUUGCAGCGAGAGAUGAUUUAUGGAUGGGGAGAAUAAAGUAACUGUCUAAAGAGAAGCAGAGAGAACACUACCUGACUCUCUGACAGCAUUAAGCCACUCUCUUCCAGUCUGUUCUUGGUCCAGCUGCAUUCUCGUUCUUGAGUUCUUAAGGUUACCUCCUUCCCCUUGAUUUAGGUAGCUGAGCUUUCUGUGUCGUGGUGAUGUCAUGUAUCAGGAAUCCUUAACUUAAAAAAAACUCAGUGAUAAGUUUAAGUAGUCCACUUUUUUGAGACGGAGUCUCACUCUGUCACCCAGGCUGGAGAGUGCAGUGGUGCAAUCUUGGCUCACUGCAACAGGGGCUGGACACCCUCAGAAUUGGGGGUGGUCCGGAGGAAGCAGUCAGGAAACUGCAGGAUUGGAGGGUUGG